AUGAACGUUGGCGGCGUGGAUUAGGCAUGCAAGUCGAGCGAGAAUCCCGGCUUGCCGGGAGGACAGCGGCGUAAGGGACAGUAAUGUGUAGAUCAUCUGCCCUCGGGAUCGGGAUAGCUGCGGGAAACUGCAGGUAAUACCGAAUAACAUCUGCGGAUCAAAGGUGAGAUUCCGCCCGAGGAUGAGUCUGCAUCCUAUUAGCUAGUUGGUGGGGUAACGGCUCACCAAGGCUUUGAUGGGUAGCGGGUGUGAGAGCACGACCCGCGUCACUGGGACUGAGACACUGCCCAGACACCUACGGGUGGCUGCAGUCGAGAAUCUUCGGCAAUGGGCGCAAGCCUGACCGAGCGACGCCGCGUGCGGGAUGAAGGCCUUCGGGUUGUAAACCGCUGUCGGAGGGGAGGAAAUCGUGGUGGGUUCUCCCACCAUGUUGACCUAGCCUCGAAGGAAGUGUGGGCUAAGUUCGU
rnacentral:rRNA from 1 species